AUUUGUAUAGUGGUCGUCAGCGGGGGUUCUGUGUCAGCUGAUUUACUCCUAGGUAAAUCAACAUAAACUUUUAUAAACAUCCGCCAUUAAAUAAUCCAUGUAACUUUUCUGAAUUAAUCUAAUUUUGAUAAUUGACAUGUAAAUAAAUGCAAUGAUAUUGUAUUCAAAUCAAUUUGAAUACAAGAUUUCGAUCAAAUUGAUACUGAUAGACAUAGAAAAAUAAAAUAUAAGGUUGAAAAUUGUCGUUUGUAGCACAGCGUCACCUAUAAACAUUGAUAGGGAAACGAACGACAACUGCACACAAGCCCUAUUGACACCGUGGCGCGAAAUAUCGAAUAUGGUGCGAAACCUCAGAAAAUUUACAAGAAAUAACUCUACAACAUUGUGUAUGUGUAUAUAUUUGGGGUUUUUUUUAAUGUGAUAUAAAAAAUGCUUGAUGUUACAUGUAGAUUGAAUUAAAACACGUCAUUCCCAGUCAACAACUUUCGAUUGGGAUCGGAAUACGAAAUAAAAUUUCUUAUAUCCGGUGGCAAAGUGAAACUGCUUCAUGCUUCAAGUUAUUGAAUUACGUAGUAAUUGCACGUUACACAUUAGAGAACUGUUCCUUUUAAUAAAGAAAGUCACAAAAUAGAUACAAAAUGAGUGUACCUUAUCCAUUACUGUUACCGAGCUUUCGUCGACUAUAAUCUCGAAAUGGCGUGUUUCGCUGCGCUUGAUGAUCUGACAGUAAGGUCCACAUUUUCUACAUGAUGUUAUAUACAUCAUUUCCUUCAGAUGUAUCAAUGUGUUGGUGACUGUUAUGAAGAGAAUGGGCCCAUUUUAACAACUUCUAGGAUGGGCGGUACAAGGGUUCAUACCAGUGAUCAAUUUGUCAUGACUCUUAUGAAGUUGCACCUAAAUCUAAGGGAUCUACAUUUAGCAGGCCAGAGGGCUCAAUGCCGAAUUUACCUCUGAAAGAAUCGCAAUGGAUACAACAAACAGAACACUGGAUUUAAUUUUAAAAAUGAAUAACUAGUCAUUAUCUGACAGCAACUACAUUGUGCAAAAUUUGUCACACAGCAAAGGAUAUCACUUGUGUAGCACAAUUGUUCUGAAUUCUAUCCUGGAUCCACCUCUGAUGGUGACAUUGUUGAUCACUGAGGUGUAUUGGAGAUGUUGAAGCCAGAUGAUAUAUGAUUCUUGCUAAUAAAGGAUUUGAUAUAUUUGAUAAACUUUAAUCAGGAGUGACAUUGAACAUCACCUUUUCUUUCAUCAAAAUCUCAUUUCAGUAAGGAUGAAGCACAGCUGUUACAAGACCAGGGAGAGUCAAAUUCAUGUGGAGUGUGCAAUUUAAUAAUUAAAAACAUCCAUAUUCUAAAUCAUAUACCUUCACAAUACAGACAUAUAUAUCUGUCCACUCAGAUUUUCAACUCUGUGUGACUCUUGUACAUUUGCAAAUCCUCUAUUGAAGGAAAUAGCUGAUAUGAAUUCCACAAUUUAUUAAAUCUUAUCUUUGGACUUAAGAUACUAUAAAUGUACAACUUCUUACUCACAUUAUUCUGCAUUGUCAAGUUGUAUUAAAUGCAUUCAAGUAAAUGAUAAAGGGAACAUUUAUUUAAGGCUGCAGCAUCUGCUAGUCAAAGAAAUUGUUACAAUGGUGAUUCAUGUACAUCUUUAUACUGAUCAUUUGUAGCAAAAACAAAAUAAAACUAAUGGAAGACA